GGUGUUGACAGCCGAGGGGAAGGCAGGCAGAGAAGGGCCUAGGCGUGGAGGCUGGGGUGGUGAGGGAAUAACCCACAUGUUCAGAAUUUGCAGGGCCUCAAAUGCCAAGCAUUACCGGGCACCUGAUCCCACGGGAGGAAACACCCACGUCUGGCCCAGAUUACAGGCAAGUCCCCAGCUCCUGUCUUCUUCCGGUUUGGGGGAAGCCCCAGCCUGCUGUCUAGAGCAGCAGCCCCAGACUGGGGUUUCUCUCAAGUUCCCACAGCAAAACCCAGGUUCUCUGUGAUGCGUCUAAGACUAAGCAGCCCGAGGGCAGUUAGCCCAUGCUUGCCCUGUUGCUGGGUGGGACAGAAGCCGUCAUCCGAGGCUACUUUUCCCAGGGCUCACUAAGCAUGGCCCUGAUGGAUAGCUUCAUGAAGGAGUCACUACUGCCCCGACUCAACAUGGGGACCCAGAGCAUCCAAGCUCAGCUUCUUUCCACACAGAGUGUCUGGCAGCCCCCUGAAGGAAUGAGUUGCCCAUCACCAGAGAUAUAAUGAAAAUAAGAAUUCUGAGACAAGAUCUUAGAUUCUGGGCUCUCAACCCAAUGACUGGUAUUUUUAUAAGAAGAGAAGGCCACAUGAGGAUAGAGGCAGAGACUGGGGUGAUGCGGCCGCAAGCCAAGGGACACCUGGAGGUACUGGAAGCCGGAGGAGGCAAAGAACCAUCCACUCUGAGAACCUCCAGAGGGAGCAGGGCCCCGCCGACACCUGGAUCUUGGGCUUCCGGCCUCCAGAAUAUCGAGGAAGUAAACUGUUGCUUGAAGCCAUCGAGCUUGUGGGCGUUCAGGAGAGCAGGUUCAGGGGCCUGCCAGGGCUCUGCUGUGCAAUCUAGGGCCCAGCACUCGCCCUCUCUGUGCCUCAGUCUCCUCAAGUAAGAAACUUGCUCACGGUGUCCUCUCUCCCUCCUCCGUGUGAACAACAAAGUGGUUGAAAAGAAUAAAAGGACGAAAUCCCUCUGUGCGUCAG